rnacentral:misc_RNA from 1 species
UUUUUCCCUCAUUCUCCGACGACAAUCGCAUUCUUUGAACCACAGUUUUAUUUCCUCUAGUAAGAAGCCUAGUUACGGUGUGGCUAAAUGUCUCUCUUCAAUAUCGUCUUCACCGCACACGGUCGAUUGGAACGACGCCGUUUCGUGCUCGGAGAUCGCAGAAGCUGAGAAAUUGUGUUUGGAGAGGGAAGAAGAUGAUGAUGAUGCUAGUGCUACAGCUGUUAAGCCGUAUAUUCCUGUUAGGGCAUUCUUUUUCUCCACUAGUGUGGAUUUGAGGAGCUUAGUGGAACAGAACAAGCAGAAUUUUGUUCCACCUUCCUCUCGAAUGACAAAUUAUGUUGUUUUAAGAUUUGGGGAUACUAAGAAGGCUGCCAGUGCAUUAGGUGCCAACUUAAGUGGCAGUGACUGCUGUUACAUGGUAGUUUUUCAAUAUGGCUCGAUUGUCUUGUUUAAUGUUUCCGAUCACGAGGUUGAUGGAUACCUGAAGAUUGUCGAGAGACAUGCUUCAGGGUUAUUGCCGGAGAUGAGAAAGGAUGAAUAUGAGGUAAGAGAGAAGCCAACUUUGAGCACAUGGAUGCAAGGUGGAUUGGACUACAUAAUGUUGCAAUAUAUGAAUAUAGAUGGUAUCCGAACCAUUGGCAGUGUUCUUGGUCAAAG